UGAGCCCCGCCCGGCCGCGGGCCGCAGGUAGAAUCGCGCUCACAGCACCCCCCCGGCCGCGGCUGCCUCGGCCCAGCUUCCCGCCCCGACGCGGUCAACGCCUGGGAGCGUCUGUGCGCCCCGGCCUGCUCGGCUCGAGAGCGCAGGGUGGACGGCUACAGACAUACUGUGAGACAUAUGCAGACUAACUGGGAAAAGAAUAAAGUCAACUGUUCACAAAAUGGCAUCAAUUGCAUAAAGAAAAUAAACUGGGAAAAAAGAGAA